GACGUAGGGCGCGAGCGUUGUCCGGAAUUAUUGGGCGUAAAGCGUGCGCAGGCGGUGAUGUAAGACCGAUGUGAAAUCCCCGGGCUUAACCUGGGAACUGCAUUGGUGACUGCAUUGCUAGAGUAUGGCAGAGGGGGGGUGGAAUUCCACGUGUAGCAGUGAAAUGCGUAGAGAUGUGGAGGAACACCGAUGGCGAAGGCAGCCCCCUGGGCCAAUACUGACGCUCAUGCACGAAAGCGUGGGGAGCAAACAGG
rnacentral:rRNA from 1 species